UACACUCCUACGGGAGGCAGCAGUGGGGAAUAUUGCACAAUGGGCGCAAGCCUGAUGCAGCCAUGCCGCGUGUGUGAAGAAGGCCUUCGGGUUGUAAAGCACUUUCAGCGGGGAGGAAGGCAAUGCGGUUAAUAACCGUGUUGAUUGACGUUACCCGCAGAAGAAGCACCGGCUAACUCCGUGCCAGCAGCCGCGGUAAUACGGAGGGUGCAAGCGUUAAUCGGAAUUACUGGGCGUAAAGCGCACGCAGGCGGUCUGUCAAGUCGGAUGUGAAAUCCCCGGGCUCAACCUGGGAACUGCAUUCGAAACUGGCAGGCUUGAGUCUUGUAGAGGGGGGUAGAAUUCCAGGUGUAGCGGUGAAAUGCGUAGAGAUCUGGAGGAAUACCGGUGGCGAAGGCGGCCCCCUGGACAAAGACUGACGCUCAGGUGCGAAAGCGUGGGGAGCAAACAGGAUUAGAAACCCUAGUAGUCCCAUGA
rnacentral:rRNA from 1 species